CCUACGGGAGGCAGCAGUGGGGAAUUUUGGACAAUGGGCGCAAGCCUGAUCCAGCCAUGCCGCGUGAGUGAAGAAGGCCUUCGGGUUGUAAAGCUCUUUCGGUAGGAACGAAAUGGUUCGUGCUAAUACCACGGACUGAUGACGGUACCUGAAGAAGAAGCACCGGCUAACUACGUGCCAGCAGCCGCGGUAAUACGUAGGGUGCAGGCGUUAAUCGGAAUUACUGGGCGUAAAGCGUGCGCAGGCGGUUUCUUAAGUCAGAUGUGAAAGCCCCGGGCUUAACCUGGGAACUGCGUUUGAAACUGGGAGACUAGAGUGUGGCAGAGGGGGGUGGAAUUCCACGUGUAGCAGUGAAAUGCGUAGAUAUGUGGAGGAACACCGAUGGCGAAGGCAGCCCCCUGGGUUAACACUGACGCUCAUGCACGAAAGCGUGGGGAGCAAACAGGAUUAGAUACCCUGGUAGUCCACGCCCUAAACUAUGUCAACUGGUUGUCGGGGGAUUAGCUCCCUUGGUAACGAAGCUAACGCGUGAAGUUGACCGCCUGGGGAUCGGCCGCAAGGUUAAAACCUCAAAGGAAUUGACGGCUGAGAGNGCGAGCGACGACGAGGGAGAGG
rnacentral:rRNA from 1 species